AGUGUCCGGACAAAUCCGUUGAGAUGGUUCUCUCAACAAUACGCCGGCGCUGAAACACCUGCCCUCAGCGCCGUCAUCGUCAGGUUCUCUGUUGAUGAAAGAGAGGAUGCAUGCACAGAUAAUUGUUUGUAGAAUUCUCAGACCUUGAAGCAGCACCAAUACAACAACAUCAGAAACAGCACCGAGGCAGCAGUACAUUCCUCGCCGGCCACCACAACCACACCGUUCGUCGGCGCAGCUCGAGCUCCGCUCGCUUCUCCCCAGCGGUGCAACGCUGAGACAAUGGUAGACAUGUUGGAGCUCAUCUGCAAUGGGUGACGGAGCAUUUUCACGUACAACCUGCAGUGCCAUUGCAACUGUCUCAACUCCACAAGAGCUGGUUUCUUAUAUAUCCAAGAAAUAUGUGUGCGACAGUCUACUAGGGAGCGUGGCAACAGGUAGUGGUGACGCAACCCAGUGACCGGUUGGACCACGCUCCACCACCACCCUCACGUAGCUGCAUGAGGGACUUGAUGUGGGAGGCAGGGAGGUUGAGCGGGAGGAUCUGGGCGGCUGGCGACCACGUAUAACCGCAAUCUUGUCGGUGUCGAUGACCUGCGUCACCGCCUCUCCAAGCACCCUCAUGCUCGGGCCUCCCCGCUGCCCAGGCCAACAACCACUAGCUGCAGGACAACCCAUGGCUGCUGCAUGUCUUCAUCGAUCUGGUUCUGCAUAGGUUGGAGAGAUGGAGAUGGAUCAAAGGCCGAGUGGACAACCCCACAGUUACUCCUUUGCUGAUCUCUCAGCUAACCUAAUCUCACCAUUUGGACCACCGUGUCAUUUUUAGUGUAUAGAGGUAGUUCACCUUUUCCACAUAUAUAUGAUCUAUCAAAAAACCCGUUACGCGUGAUACAUAUACCACUUGGAGUAGGUAAAGAGGUUGUUGUUGCUAUAAAAAAAAUCAAUUAUGUUCUGUUGACAUGUUCUUUCUUGUAAGUUAGAGAAUCUCAUUGAGAGUUAUGAGAUCCUUAUCAGUUACAUUUACCAAAAGGGCGUUCAUGUGGUCAUCGCCUUCUAGUACAAUGUGUGAGGG